rnacentral:rRNA from 1 species
UACGUAGGGUGCAAGCGUUGUCCGGAAUUACUGGGCGUAAAGCGCGCGUAGGCGGACCUGCAAGUCGGGGGUGAAAGCCCGAGGCUCAACCUCGGAACUGCCUUCGAUACUGCGGGUCUCGAGUCCGGGAGAGGUGAGUGGAAUUCCUAGUGUAGAGGUGAAAUUCGUAGAUAUUGGGAAGAACACCGAUGGCGAAGGCAGCCAUCUGGACCGACACUGACGCUGAGGCGCGAAAAGCGUGGGGAGCAAACAGG